rnacentral:rRNA from 1 species
UAGGGAAUCUUCCGCAAUGGACGAAAGUCUGACGGAGCAACGCCGCGUGAGUGAAGAAGGAUUUCGGUUCGUAAAACUCUGUUGUUAGGGAAGAAAAAAUGUAUAGUAACUAUAUACAAAAGAGACGGUACCUAACCAGAAAGCCACGGCUAACUACGUGCCAGCAGCCGCGGUAAUACGUAGGUGGCAAUCGUUGUCCGGAAUUAUUGGGCGUAAAGCGCGCGCAGGUGGUUUAGAAAGUCUGAUGUGAAAGCCCACGGCUCAACCGUGGAGGGUCAUUGGAAACUAAUAAACUUGAGUGCAGGAGAGAAAAGUGGAAUUCCUAGUGUAGCGGUGAAAUGCGUAGAGAUUAGGAGGAACACCGGUGGCGAAAGCGGCUUUUUGGCCUGCAACUGACACUGAGGCGCGAAAGCGUGGGGAGCAAACAGG